rnacentral:rRNA from 1 species
CCUUCACGUGCUAAAUAGCCGGUCGGGCCAAGGCCCGUCCCAGGCUUCUUAGACGGACUAUCGGCGUCUAGCCGAUGGAAGUUGGAGGCAAUAACAGGUCUGUGAUGCCCUUAGAUGUUCUGGGCCGCACGCGCGCUACACUGACAGGGCCAGCGAGUUUCCUACCUUGGCCGGAAGGUCUGGGUAAUCUUGUGAAACCCUGUCGUGCUGGGGAUAGAGCAUUGCAAUUAUCGCUCUUCAACGAGGAAUUCCUAGUAGGCGUGAGUCAUCAGCUCGCGUCGAUUACGUCCCUGCCCUUUGUACACACCGCCCGUCGCUACUACCGAUUGAACGGCUUAGUGAGGUCUUCGGAUUGGCUUUGGGGAGCCGGCGACGGCGCCCUGUCGUCGAGAAGUCGAUCAAACUUGGUCGUUUAGAGGAAGUAAAAGUCG